rnacentral:lncRNA from 1 species
GCCUUCUGCAGUCAAAGUCAUUUCUAGUAAGGAUCUAAUGAUGGGAGAAACACUUCCCUCGCCUGUUUAUCUCAAAUGAUGUGAGAGCCCUUGGACUCGUCUGGACCCUAGAGUCAUCUUAAAUAUAGAAUUUGAUAUAAAAAUGACAUAUACUUAUCCCAGGCACCUUUCCCGUUUACUGUUAUCUAAAAAUUUCCACCUAUAUUCACUCUAAUUCCCCUUUAUAACCAACUCCUAUACCCCAGUGGACUCCCUUUUAAACUAAAGACAUUUCUUCCAAUUCCUUAAGAUGCAAAGGCAGGGGAGCUAUGGAAGUUUCUACAAUUUCAUUGAUAAAACAUUACCAGGUUUUAGGCUCAAAAGCCCCUAAGAGGUGCAUAAUUUAUCAUUUUUAUCACUACUACUAGGAUUACUAG